rnacentral:rRNA from 1 species
AGGCAGCAGUAGGGAAUCUUCCACAAUGGGCGCAAGCCUGAUGAGCAACACCGCGUGAGUGAAGAAGGGUUUCGGCUCGUAAAGCUCUGUUGUUAAAGAAGAACACGUAUGAGAGUAACUGUUCAUACGUUGACGGUAUUUAACCAGAAAGUCACGGCUAACUACGUGCCAGCAGCCGCGGUAAUACGUAGGUGGCAAGCGUUAUCCGGAUUUAUUGGGCGUAAAGAGAGUGCAGGCGGUUUUCUAAGUCUGAUGUGAAAGCCUUCGGCUUAACCCGGAGAAGUGCAUCGGAAACUGGAUAACUUGAGUGCAGAAGAGGGUAGUGGAACUCCAUGUGUAGCGGUGGAAUGCGUAGAUAUAUGGAAGAACACCAGUGGCGAAGGCGGCUACCUGGUCUGCAACUGACGCUGAGACUCGAAAGCAUGGGUAGCGAACAGGAUUAGAUACCCUGGUAG